GUCUACGGCCACACCACCCUGAAGGCGCCCAAUCUCGUCAGCUCUCGGAAGCAAAGCAGGGUCGGGCCUGGUUAGUACUUGGAAGGGAGACCGCCUGGGAAUACCGGGUGCCGUAGGCU
rnacentral:rRNA from 1 species